UCGUGGGGUGACUUGUCUGCUUAAUUGCGAUAACGAGCGAGACCUUACUCUGCUAAAUAGCCAGGCUAGCUUUGGCUGGUCGCCGGCUUCUUAGAGAGACUAUCGGCUCAAGCCGAUGGAAGUUUGAGGCAAUAACA
rnacentral:rRNA from 1 species